GACAGAGGAUGCAAGCGUUAUCCGGAAUGAUUGGGCGUAAAGGGCGCGUAGGUGGCCUUCUUAGUCAGACGUGAAAUCCCCAGGCUUAACCUGGGAACUGCGUCUGAUACUGGAAGGCUUGAGUUCGGGAGAGGAAUGUGGAAUUCCAGGUGUAGCGGUGAAAUGCGUAGAUAUCUGGAGGAACACCGGUGGCGAAGGCGGCACUCUGGACCGAAACUGACGCUGAGGCGCGAAAGCCAGGGGAGCAAACGGG
rnacentral:rRNA from 1 species